CCCAUAAUUCAUUCAAAGUGUGAUUCGGAAAAUUUCUGCUUCUCACUUUCAAAGAUGUAUAGUUUGCUUCUGGAGACAUAAAUCAAGGACUCCAAGGAGAAGCAUAGGUUGUUCAAUGCUAUUGAAAACAUUCCUUGUGUGUGGGGCUAGAAAGCUAAGUGGGCAUUGGAUUGGAUACAUGAGGCCGUAUACAUCAUUCUUCUUUGACGCUUUUGAAAUUAACAAUACAUAAAAACUUCACCAAGAGGAUGAUUAAAAGUACGUCUGAGCCUGUGUUCCUGUUGGAACACAUGCCUCCAAUAGUAAUUUCUCAUUCUUCUCCAUUUUCCAUUCCACACUUUUUGGAGAGAGACUGGUUGCUUUUUCUUGUGUUGAAGGAGUCUUUUUCUCAGAAAGCUUCUGCACCAUUUUCUGGCUUAAAAAGAGAGGCUUGAUGCCAGUUUUGACAUUCUCGAACGAACUAAUAUCUAGAGAUGAGGGGCUACAUUGUGACUUUGCUUGCCUUCUUUUAUAGUUUGUUGCAGAAGCAACUUCAUUGGCAAAAAGUUCAUCAUAUUAAUUGUUGGUGAAGCAGUGGAAAUUGAGACCAAGUUUGUCUGUGAAGCCCUACCAUGUGCAUUGAUCAGCACGAAUGCAACACUCAUGAGCGAGUGCAUAUAGUUUGUGUCUGACUGUCU